rnacentral:rRNA from 1 species
UACGGAGGGUGCAAGCGUUAAUCGGAAUUACUGGGCGUAAAGAGUGCGUAGGCGGUUAGGUAAGUUAUCUGUGAAAUCCCUGGGCUUAACCUAGGUAGGAAAGAUAAAACUGCUUGACUAGAGUGUGGUAGAGGAUAGUGGAAUUUCCGGUGUAGCGGUGAAAUGCGUAGAGAUCGGAAGGAACACCAGUGGCGAAGGCGGCUAUCUGGACCAACACUGACGCUGAGGCACGAAAGCGUGGGGAGCAAACAGGAUUAGAUACCCUGGUAGUCCACGCCGUAAACGAUGUCAACUUACUGUUGGUCACAUUAAAGUGAUUAGUAGUGAAGCUAACGCGAUAAGUUGACCGCCUGGGGAGUACGGUCGCAAGAUUA